rnacentral:misc_RNA from 1 species
UAUAUAAGCCGCUCUAGACCUCUCCAUUCCGCAUCAAGUGUUUUGGGACUUGUUUAUUUGCUCUGAACUUAUACGCCGCUGUAGGGGAAGAGAGCUUCUCUACGUCUAAAACCCUAGCCAUGGUGAGUUAUGAAACCUGUGUUUGUGGACUAUAUAUGACAGAUUUGACAUUGCUUUUUUAAUGUUUGUGAAAUUUUGUAGUCGUUCGUAGCAAACGAAGAUUUCCAACACAUUCUUCGCGUUCUGAACACGAACGUCGAUGGGAAACAGAAGAUUAUGUUUGCCCUAAAAUCCAUUAAAGGUAUGCGGUCACCGCUUCGCUAACAUCGUCUGCAAGAAAGCCGACGUCGACAUGAACAAGAGGUCUUUCUCUCUCUCUAUUUCACUUUCCUAAUCGUAGCGUUUUCUUUCAUUCAUAAAGUCUCUUAUAUUCUAUAAUUAUCUGAUCUUUGUUUUAGUUUUAGAGUUAAAAAAGAUCCAAGUCUAUUAUUUUGUUGCUGUUAUUUCUAGCUGUGAAAAUAUGAGUUAAACUUUGAUAGAUUUCUUGUUACUUGCUGAAUAUACGUUGUUGUGAUUCUGAUGAGAAUUAUGAUUGUUAGCUCUUUUUCCAUUAUUCUUUCUGGGUAGUAAUAACAUGUAGUCUAAGUAAUGUGGGUAUGAUUCUGAUGAGAAUUGUGGUGGUUAGCUUUUUUCCCCAUUAGUCUUUCUGGGUAGUAAUAUUGUAAUAACAUUUAGUCUAAGUAAUGUGGUUUAUCAUUCACUUAUGUUAUUGUGUCCAUUUAUUUGUUAGUGAUCGUUUAAGAGAGUUCAAAGAUUGUAUAGAAUGUGCAGCUGCAAUCCCCUGGAUUUAGUGAUCUGUACCGCACAGUAUUUUUUUUUCCAUUUUCUUUAACUUUUAUUAUGAUGUAUUCUAGAAUUUGGGUUUCCAUUCACAUCUAAAUGAGUCUCAGGGAUUUUUAUUUGAAAUCUUUUUUGUUUCAAUGCACAUGCUUUCCUCCCAUCAACUGUAUUUUAACGUAAUUAUAUUUGAUUAAUAAUUGAUUUGUUCUUUCUAAUGUUUUCUAUUUUUGUUAGGAAUCUAAUUUUCACAUUGGGAGUAAAUAAGAAUGAAAGGAUAAAUAUAAGUAGUUGGGUUGCAACAUUAAAUUGACUAGUAUAAUAUAAACCCAUAUUAAUAUUGAAUUAAAAUGUAAUUUGACUAGUAUUCCCUCCAAACUUUCUUGACUUUUGGACUGUUUGUAGAGCUGGUGAACUAUCAGCUGAAGAGCUUGACAAACUUAUGGUGAUUGUUGCAAAUCCCCGCCAAUUCAAGAUUCCAGAUUGGUUCCUGAACAGACAGAAGGAUUACAAGGAUGGAAAGUAUUCUCAGGUUGUAUCCAAUGCAUUGGACAUGAAGCUGAGAGACGAUCUUGAGCGGUUGAAGAAGAUCAGAAACCAUCGUGGUCUUCGUCACUAUUGGGGUCUUCGAGUGCGUGGCCAGCACACCAAGACCACUGGCCGCAGGGGGAAGACUGUUGGUGUCUCCAAGAAGCGAUAAUUUGGUUUUUCUAAUUUUUGUGUGUUCUCUCUGGCUUUUUGGAUACUUUGCAUGGUUUCAGUAUUUUGAGUUUUUAAAAGAACUUAGCAUGUCUUCGAAUUUUUAUUUAAGUGAAGUUACCAUUUUGUACUGCGGAGACUACUUUGUGUUCUCUUAGUUGGAUUCUCUUAUUAUUCUCUUAAAAAUUUACAUAAUAUUCUCUCUCAAAAAAGUAUUGCUUUGGCUUUUUGUGAAUUUUUUUUGAAGGCAUUUUGAUUUCUGAUGUUAGAGAAGAUCUCAUGAUAUAGUCAGUGAUGUAAAAAUUGCCUUCAGGAUAAGUGAUAUGGAUUUGCAUAUUAUUGGGCAUUGAUGCCAAAGAAUUUUUAAUGCUAUGCAAAUGGGCUAAACUUCCAGUGCA